CUGGCGGCGUGCCUAACACAUGCAAGUCGAGCGAGGGGAUCCUCGGGAUGAUCCUAGCGGCGGACGGGUGAGUAACACGUGGGCAACCUGCCUCAUAGAGAGGAAUAGCCUUCCGAAAGGGAGAUUAAUACCUCAUAACAUUGCAGUUUCGCAUGGAACAGCAAUUAAAGGAGCAAUCCGCUAUGAGAUGGGCCCCGCGGCGCAUUAGCUAGUUGGUGAGGUAACGGCUCACCAAGGCGACGAUGCGUAGCCGACCUGAGAGGGUGAUCGGCCACAUUGGGACUGAGACACGGCCCAGACUCCUACGGGAGGCAGCAGUGGGGAAUAUUGCACAAUGGGGGAAACCCUGAUGCAGCCAACGCCGCGUGAGUGAUGACGGCCUUCGGGUUGUAAAGCUCUGUCUUCAGGGACGAUAAUGACGGUACCUGAGGAGGAAGCCACGGCUAACUACGUGCCAGCAGCAGC
rnacentral:rRNA from 1 species